GGGGAAUUUUGGACAAUGGGCGCAAGCCUGAUCCAGCAAUGCCGCGUGCAGGAUGAAGGCCUUCGGGUUGUAAACUGCUUUUGUACGGAACGAAAAGCCUCUCUCUAAUACAGGGGGGUGAUGACGGUACCGUAAGAAGAAGCCCCGGCUAACUUCGUGCCAGCAGCCGCGGUAAUACGAAGGGGGCUAGCGUUGCUCGGAAUCACUGGGCGUAAAGCGCACGUAGGCGGUUUUGUAAGACAGUGGUGAAAUCCCCGGGCUCAACCUGGGAACUGCCAUUGUGACUGCAAGGCUGGAGUGCGGCAGAGGGGGAUGGAAUUCCGCGUGUAGCAGUGAAAUGCGUAGAUAUGCGGAGGAACACCGAUGGCGAAGGCAAUCCCCUGGGCCUGCACUGACGCUCAUGCACGAAAGCGUGGGGAGCAAACA
rnacentral:rRNA from 1 species